rnacentral:rRNA from 1 species
UGGGGAAUAUUGGACAAUGGGCGCAAGCCUGAUCCAGCCAUGCCGCGUGUGUGAAGAAGGCCUUUUGGUUGUAAAGCACUUUAAGCGAGGAGGAGGCUACUUGGAUUAAUACUCUAGGAUAGUGGACGUUACUCGCAGAAUAAGCACCGGCUAACUCUGUGCCAGCAGCCGCGGUAAUACAGAGGGUGCGAGCGUUAAUCGGAUUUACUGGGCGUAAAGCGUGCGUAGGCGGCUUCUUAAGUCGGAUGUGAAAUCCCUGAGCUUAACUUAGGAAUUGCAUUCGAUACUGGGAAGCUAGAGUAUGGGAGAUGAUGGUAGAAUUCCAGGUGUAGCGGUGAAAUGCGUAGAGAUCUGGAGGAAUACCGAUGGCGAAGGCAGCCAUCUGGCCUAAUACUGACGCUGAGGUACGAAAGCAUGGGGAGCAAACAGG